rnacentral:rRNA from 1 species
CGGGUGAGUAACGCGUGGAUAAUCUACCCGAUGGACCGGGAUAACAUUUCGAAAGGGGUGCUAAUACCGGAUAAGACCACGGAGUCUCUGGAUUCCGCGGUAAAAGGUGGGGACCUUCGGGCCUACCGUCAUCGGAUGAGUCCGCGUACCAUUAGCUAGUUGGUGGGGUAAGGGCCUACCAAGGCGACGAUGGUUAGCUGGUCUGAGAGGAUGAUCAGCCACACUGGAACUGAGACACGGUCCAGACUCCUACGGGAGGCAGCAGUGGGGAAUUUUGCGCAAUGGGGGAAACCCUGACGCAGCAACGCCGCGUGAGUGAUGAAGGCCUUCGGGUCGUAAAGCUCUGUCAGAGGGAAAGAAGUGCAGUGGUGCUAAUAUCAUCAUCGCUUGACGGUACCCUCAAAGGAAGCACCGGCUAACUCCGUGCCAGCAGCCGCGGUAAUACGGAGGGUGCGAGCGUUGUUCGGAAUUAUUGGGCGUAAAGCGCGUGUAGGC